rnacentral:ncRNA from 2 species
GUAUGAUGCCGGAUUAUCGGUUCUAAUGGGGAGCAGCCAUUAGAGGUAACGGGGAAAGUUUGGUGCAAGUCCAACGCUGUCCCGCAACUGUGAUUUGAUUUUUGAUUUUGGAUGAAAGGAUUUUAGAUUUUGGAUUGGAUUAGUAGCAAUCUAGUGAGUUAUCAAUCCAAAAUCGAUGAGUCAGGAUGCCCGCCGAUAAAAGAACUGGCAU